GCUAACAGAGUGAUCAUGGUCUCUGCCAUUGGGAAUGCUGGACCACUAUAUGGGUGUGUUCUGACACCGAGAGGAGCACCCUGAACAAUCCAGCAGAUCAGAUGGAUGUGAUUGGGGUCAGUGGGAUAGAUUUUGAGGACAACGUUGCCAGGUUCUCCUCGCGGGGGAUGACUACAUGGCACGGUGUUGAACA